AUUGGUUUGCCUGAGAGGUUAAGGGGAAGAUUUAAGAUCUUUUGUACAUAAGUGUGCAUGGGUUCAAACCCUAUUGCCAGCA
rnacentral:tRNA from 1 species